rnacentral:rRNA from 1 species
CCUACGGGCGGCAGCAGUGGGGAAUAUUGCACAAUGGGGGAAACCCUGAUGCAGCGACGCCGCGUGAGUGAAGAAGUAUUUCGGUACGUAAAGCUCUAUCAGCAGGGAAGAAAAUGACGGUACCUGACUAAGAAGCCCCGGCUAACUACGUGCCAGCAGCCGCGUUAAUACGUAGGGGGCAAGCGUUAUCCGGAUUUACUGGGUGUAAAGGGAGCGUAGACGGCAGCGCAAGUCUGGAGUGAAAUCCCAUGGCUUAACCAUGGAACUGCGUUGGAAACUGUGCAGCGAGAGUGCAGGAGAGGUAAGCGGAAUUCCUAGGGUAGCGGUGAAAUGCGUAGAUAUUAGGAGGAACACCAGUGGCGAAGGCGGCUUACUGGACUGUAACUGACGGUGAGGCUCGAAAGCGUGGGGAGCAAACAGGAUUAGAGACCCGUGUAGUC